UACGUAGGGGGCAAGCGUUGUCCGGAAUUAUUGGGCGUAAAGAGCGUGUAGGCGGCCAGAUAAGUCCGCUGUGAAAACUCGAGGCUCAACUUCGAGCUGUCGGUGGAAACUUUCUGGCUAGAGUCCGGAAGAGGAGAAUGGAAUUCCUGGUGUAGCGGUGAAAUGUGCAGAUAUCAGGAAGAACACCCGUGGCGAAGGCGGUUCUCUGGGACGGUACUGACGCUGAGACGCGAAAGCGUGGGGAGCGAACAGG
rnacentral:rRNA from 1 species